rnacentral:misc_RNA from 1 species
CGAUGUGCUUUCUGUUGUUCUGGCGCAGCGUUGCGUUGCUGGCUUUUCCACGCUUCCACGCAUGUGUGUGCGCGCGUGUAUGGGUGGGUGGCCAUCAGCCGGCGGGUGUCUGUGGGCACCGGUAUGCACGUGAAUGGUCCAAAUACGCUGCAUCACGAAACAGCGCUGUACGAACGCGAGCAAACCAAUAAAAGGCGAUAGCAGCGACAACGAGGCAAGCGAAGAAGGGCAACUGCAACUGGGUCUCACCCUGCCAAGGUUUCUUUGAUGUAUGAUGGUGCCCCCUUUUUUUGGCCUGCGUUUCUGCACCUUCUUCUGUUGCCUCGCUGCUAUGCUGCUGUGACGUGCGGUGUCUGUUUCUUGUUCUCUCCAUCCUGAGCAGUAGAUAAUGCUAUAUAACCCCUCUUCCCCUCCCUCACAAAGCAGUUUCGGUGCGCAUGCGCAGACAAGUGCAUAUGUGCGACCCCGCCAGCACGGGGAAAGGAGGGAAAGAAGCAGUGGGCAAGGAACGCGCUAACUGCGGGAGGCGAGUGGCGGACUCGUCUUCCGCUUUUUUUUGUCGCCUUCCAACGAUGCGCCGAAGGAAGUCCUUUGUUGGGAUCAUUGAGUUACCCGUCAUCUACAAACGGGGGCGGGUGUGUGGGUGUGUGGGCGGGAAGUUUGCAAAGAGAGACGUGCCCUCUCUUACGGUAGCCUGAUGCUGUGCGCGGUGCACGUGCGCGAAUUGCAUCGUGCUCCACAGACCCGUUCCACUUGUCGUGCUUAUCUCAGGGUGCCGUUGCCGGCUGCAUCUCUCACAAUUCGGCCUCUUUCUCUCUUCUCCCCCACCGCUUCGCAUUCUUGUCUCUAUGGGAAAG